rnacentral:rRNA from 1 species
UACAGAGGGGGCAAGCGUUGUUCGGAAUUACUGGGCGUAAAGGGCGCGUAGGCGGCCAACUAAGUCAGACGUGAAAUCCCCAGGCUCAACCUGGGAACUGCGUCUGAUACUGGAUGGCUUGAGUUCGGGAGAGGGAAGUGGAAUUCCUGGUGUAGCGGUGAAAUGCGCAGAUAUCAGGAAGAACACCCGUGGCUAAGGCGGUUCUCUAGUACGGUACUGACGCUGAGACGCGAAAGCGUGGGGAGCGAACAGG